GGCCGUGUGGCCUAAUGGCAAGGCGUAAGUUUCCGGUACUUAAGAUUGCGUGUUCGAGUCGCGCCACGGUCG